GAGAUGAGGUUUUGCCAUGUUGGCCAGGCUGGUCUGGAACUUCUGACCUCAAGUGAUCCACCUGCCUCUGCCUCCCAAAGUGGUGGGAUUACAGAUGUGAGAUACCAUGCCCAGCCCAAGGGAGUGAUUAUUUCAAUCACAAGACAUGAAAUCAGGAUGAUGAACACAUUUGGCAAGAAUCUAGUUCCAGGAAACAUGUUUUGAUGCUGCUUAACACAGCUUUUGGAAGUUGAUGAACAUCAUCAAAGUGUGAACCCAUCUCAGCUGACAAGGGGGACACAAAUUUGCUGCCUUCCUAUGUCAGCAUCUGAAGAGAUGGCAUGUGGAUGGGAACCAGCCAGGACAGCUGUGGAGGCAGCCAUAUCGCUGAAGAAGUGCAGGCUGCACCUGACCUUUCCCAGUGACCAAGGCAGUGCACACAGGGCCACACAGGGACAUCCUUCCAUGUUUUAUGGUUUGUAGGUGGCUGUCGAAUUCAGCGUCAUGGGAUUUUUCAUGUGUUCCCCCAGCUUCUUUGGGAAGGAGUCCUGGUAGGGGCAGAAGUCGGUGGCCCAGCCCAGCUUCUGGCACUUCCAUGGGAGUGAGGUGCAAAGACAGAGUGCAGUACAUUUAAAGUGUUUUGCCAAAACUUUUUUAUGGGAUUUGAGUACAAAUACCAAAGGGGUUGUCCAUGGAAAGAAGUGGGCCUUAGGCUGAUAUCUUGUUGGGGGAUGCAGCGAGAUUGGGGGUAACCUCUGACCCCAUCUGUAGGAUUCACUGGAUCUGCUUGAUGUUUGCUUGUAGUUGUUUGACUGAUGAUGACAUUACUGUUUAGACAUUUGGACUGCAAGGAGAAAUCCCACCACAGAUAAAUAAGAAAAACAUGCUCUCUCUUCUCUAAUGAUUGGACAGACUCCUACUCCAAAACAGAAGAUCUCAACUCUGGAAGAGAACAGAUGCCUUCCACUGUGUGAGCGUAAAUUCAGAGCCUUCCAACUUGACAUUCUCAUCGACAAAUUAUUUAAACAUGACGGCUCUUUUAUAAAGAGUGUUAUCUUAAAAGGAAAGGAAUCAAAGGGCUGAACAUGUUGAAGGGAGGAGAAACAAGACCCCCAGGACUUGUCAAUGGCACACAUGAAAGACAGAAAACACCAGAAGCCAGUCUUCAGCCUGCUGGCCCAGCCAUGGCCACUGUAACGUACGGCUAAACCCCUGCCCCGAUCAGCUCUCAAGGCUCUGAGCCAACUGCCUAGACCGUCUAUUUGAGAUCCCUGAGAGUUUCAACACAGGGCAUGGCUGACCUCUCCACCGUGUCAUUUCCAGUAAUGCGGCCUCACUGAUAGCAGAAGUUCGGAGAGCUCUUGUCAGAGAGGCCAGCUGGCACCAUGUGAGUCUUACCCAGAGGGAAACCUGACAAUCUUCCAGCAUGCUCACCAGACUGGGGCACUGACUUUUGUCACUUGAUUCUCAACUCACAGUCUCAAGAUGCUGGUGCUAAUGUACAUUGCAGCUGACACUGGAGUUUAUUUUUAUAACUGCUCUUGCCUCAGAAAAAGCUCCAUCCCAGUACGACUUCCAGGACAGGGAUGGUCUGGAUGCUGCAGUUAGGACAAUGAUCAUCUCGUUCUCUUAGUGGUUAGGAAUCCUGUGGGCUUAUGGAAUAAGCUCGCUGAAACAGACAGUGACAUCCACGGUGACACUGACCGAAUUGUGCUCCAGUGGCCUAGAGAGUGCCUAUUAUUUAUCUCAUUUCUGUUCUGCAUAAUAACACCAACCAAACCGCUAAUGAAUGAAUAUUAUUACAUGCUUUGGUAGGAACGCAAAGGCAAAUUGGGCUCACUGUAGAGAAUAUCUUGCUCCUCAUUUUGUAUUAAAAUGCCUAGACGCCCCUCAAGAGACCAUGUCAAGGAUGAAAUUUAUCCACUGCCUGCAUUUGCUAAUUUGAAAGAGUUCUGAUUUCAUCUGCCGGGCUUAAUAUAGAAAUUCUUUUAACCUGAACAGAUACACAGAAAUGUGGAAUUUAUUCAAUGCCAUUUUCUUGAUUUAUGUCAGGAAAUAUAUAUGGCUAUGCUGUCAUCUUUUUAUAUAUAGACAUCAAUAUAUAUAAAUAUAUAGAGUCAAGUCAGAAAUUCUGAAACCACAUUGCACUUAGCCCUUACAGCAUAAUGCUUUCCAUAUUCUUCACAGUUUGUUUCCCUGAUCCUUUAGAGAGAGCUACUGUGUUUAAAGUGUAAACCAUUUUUACAGAAAAAAUGUAUUACAAUUCUAUAUGAUAAUUCUCAAAGUUCAGGAAAAUAAUCUGAAAUAAACAUUCUAAAUUGAGGAAUGAAUAAUAAAGACUCAUCAAUUGGGCUGGGAGCAGUGGCUCACGCCUGUAAUCUCAGUACUUUGGGAGACCGAGGCAGGCGGAUCACCUGAGGUCAGCCUGGC
rnacentral:lncRNA from 10 species